UGUUUCGCUGACGAGUGGCGGACGGGUGAGUAAUGUCUGGGAAACUGCCUGAUGGAGGGGGAUAACUACUGGAAACGGUAGCUAAUACCGCAUAAUGUCGCAAGACCAAGGAGGGGGACCUUCGGGCCUCUUGCCAUCGGAUGUGCCCAGAUGGGAUUAGCUAGUAGGUGGGGUAACGGCUCACCUAGGCGACGAUCCCUAGCUGGUCUGAGAGGAUGACCAGCCACACUGGAACUGAGACACGGUCCAGACUCCUACGGGAGGCAGCAGUGGGGAAUAUUGCACAAUGGGCGCAAGCCUGAUGCAGCCAUGCCGCGUGUAUGAAGAAGGCCUUCGGGUUGUAAAGUACUUUCAGCGGGGAGGAAGGGAGUAAAGUUAAUACCUUUGCUCAUUGACGUUACCCGCAGAAGAAGCACCGGCUAACUCCGUGCCAGCAGCCGCGGUAAUACGGAGGGUGCAAGCGUUAAUCGGAAUUACUGGGCGUAAAGCGCACGCAGGCGGUUUGUUAAGUCAGAUGUGAAAUCCCCGGGCUCAACCUGGGAACUGCAUCUGAUACUGGCAAGCUUGAGUCUCGUAGAGGGGGGUAGAAUUCCAGGUGUAGCGGUGAAAUGCGUAGAGAUCUGGAGGAA
rnacentral:rRNA from 1 species